rnacentral:rRNA from 1 species
AUAUGCCUACGGGGGGCAGCAGUGGGGGAUAUUGCACAAUGGGGGAAACCCUGAUGCAGCGACGCCGCGUGAGUGAAGAAGUAUUUCGGUAUGUAAAGCUCUAUCGGCAGGGAAGAAAAAAAUGACAGUACCUGACUAAGAAGCCCCGGCUAACUACGUGCCAGCAGCCGCGGUAAUACGUAGGGGGCAAGCGUUAUCCGGAGUUACUGGGGGUAAAGGGGGCGUAGGCGGGCACGCAAGUC